rnacentral:rRNA from 1 species
UGGGGAAUAUUGCACAAUGGGGGGAAACCCUGAUGCAGCGACGCCGCGUGAAGGAUGAAGUAUUUCGGUAUGUAAACUUCUAUCAGCAGGGAAGAAAAUGACGGUACCUGACUAAGAAGCCCCGGCUAACUACGUGCCAGCAGCCGCGGUAAUACAUAGGGGGCAAGCGUUGUCCGGAAUCACUGGGCGUAAAGGGAGCGUAGGCGGAUGUUUAAGUUAAGUGUGAAAGCCUGGGGGCUUAACUCCAGAAAUGCACUUAAUACUGGACAACUAGAGUAUGGGAGAGGUAAGUGGAAUUCCUAGUGUAGCGGUAAAAUGCGUAGAGAUUAGGAGGAACACCAGAGGCGAAGGCGGCUUACUGGACCACAACUGACGCUGAGGCUCGAAAGCGUGGGGAGCAAACAGGAUUAGAUACCCUGGUAGU